rnacentral:rRNA from 1 species
GUGCCCCCGCGCGUGACUUAAGCAUCAUCAAUAAGCGGAGGAAAAGAAACUAACAAGGAUUCCCCUAGUAACUGCGAGUGAAGCGGGAAAAGCUCAAAUUUAAAAUCUGGCGGUCUCUGGCCGUCCGAGUUGUAAUCUAGAGAAGUAAUGCCCGCGCUGGACCGUGUACAAGUCUCCUGGAAUGGAGCGUCAUAGAGGGUGAGAAUCCCGUCUCUGACACGGACUACCAGGGCUUUGUGGUAUGCUCUCAAAGAGUCGAGUUGUUUGGGAAUGCAGCUCAAAAUGGGUGGUAAAUUCCAUCUAAAGCUAAAUAUUGGCGAGAGACCGAUAGCGAACAAGUACCGUGAGGGAAAGAUGAAAAGAACUUUGGAAAGAGAGUUAAACAGUACGUGAAAUUGCUGAAAGGGAAACGCUUGAAGUCAGUCGCGUUGGCCAGGGAUCAGCCUCGCUCUUGCGUGGUGUACUUCCUGGUUGACGGGUCAGCAUCAAUUCUGACCGCUGGAAAAAGGCCUGGGGAAUGUGGCAGCUUCGGCUGUGUUAUAGCCCCUGGUCACAUACGGCGGUUGGGAUUGAGGAACUCAGCACGCCGCAAGGCCGGGUUUCGACCACGUUCGUGCUUAGGAUGCUGGCAUAAUGGCUUUAAGCGACCCGUCUUGAAACACGGACCAAGGAGUCUAACAUGCCUGCGAGUGUUUGGGUGGAAAACCCGAGCGCGUAAUGAAAGUGAAAGUUGAGAUCCCUGUCGUGGGGAGCAUCGACGCCCGGACCAGAACUUUUGGGACGGAUCCGCGGUAGAGCAUGUAUGUUGGGACCCGAAAGAUGGUGAACUAUGCCUGAAUAGGGUGAAGCCAGAGGAAACUCUGGUGGAGGCUCGUAGCGAUUCUGACGUGCAAAUCGAUCGUCAAAUUUGGGUAUAGGGGCGAAAGACUAAUCGAACCAUCUAGUAGCUGGGUGUCUGCCCGAAGUCCUCUCCCCGGGGUAGCCU